rnacentral:rRNA from 1 species
GUCGAGAAUCUUUCACAAUGGGGGCAACCCUGAUGGAGCGACGCCGCGUGGAGGAUAAGGUCUUCGGAUUGUAAACUCCUGUCAUGCGUGAACAAGGUUGCUUGGUUAAUACCUGGGCAAAUUGAUGGUAACGCAAGAGGAAGAGACGGCUAACUCUGUGCCAGCAGCCGCGGUAAUACAGAGGUCUCAAGCGUUGUUCGGAAUCACUGGGCGUAAAGGGUGCGUAGGGGGCGUGGUAAGUCAGAUGUGAAAGACCGGGGCUCAACCUCGGAACUGCAUCCGAUACUGCCAUGCUAGAGUACUGGAGAGGUGACUAGAAUUCUCAGUGUAGCAGUGAAAUGCGUAGAUAUCGAGAGGAAUACCAAAGGCGUAGGCAGGUCACUGGACAGUUACUGACACUGAGGCACGAAGGCCAGGGGAGCGAACGGGAUUAGAUACCCGAGUAGUCC